rnacentral:rRNA from 1 species
UGGGGAAUAUUGGACAAUGGGCGAAAGCCUGAUCCAGCCAUGCCGCGUGUGUGAAGAAGGUCUUCGGAUUGUAAAGCACUUUAAGUUGGGAGGAAGGGCAGUAAGCUAAUACCUUGCUGUUUUGACGUUACCGACAGAAUAAGCACCGGCUAACUCUGUGCCAGCAGCCGCGGUAAUACAGAGGGUGCAAGCGUUAAUCGGAAUUACUGGGCGUAAAGCGCGCGUAGGUGGUUCGUUAAGUUGGAUGUGAAAGCCCCGGGCUCAACCUGGGAACUGCAUCCAAAACUGGCGAGCUAGAGUACGGUAGAGGGUGGUGGAAUUUCCUGUGUAGCGGUGAAAUGCGUAGAUAUAGGAAGGAACACCAGUGGCGAAGGCGACCACCUGGACUGAUACUGACACUGAGGUGCGAAAGCGUGGGGAGCAAACAGG